rnacentral:lncRNA from 1 species
AUUACUCUACGCAUGUUAUCAGAUAUUAACGAGAAGGAAAAGGAGAGAGAGAGAGAUAUGAGAGGGAUUUCCAUGAGACCUUAAAGCUUCCAAGAGGUUUCCAUGGCCAGUCUGUGAGAAUUCCUGGCCGAGAUGCCAUCACUUCACUGCUACUACGUAUCUUUGUUUCCUUACUUGUGGGGAGGUCUUGCCCGUUAUAUAUAGACGAUGAGUACUGAUAUGUUCUUUAACGUUAUACUUAUUGAUGGUCCCUGGGGUGUAGGGUGUAGCGUGUAGCGUGGUGGUAAAGAAUUUAAGAUUUGAUACAUCUUUUAAAAAAUAAAAUUUACUCGAAUAAAAAAAAAAAGUUAUACUUAUUGAUGAGUGAUAUUCAUAUUGUUUUUUUAAUAACAGUACUAUCGCCGCUCAGUCCAGUUAGAGCUGCUACGGUUUUUUUUGUGUGUAAAGCUUCGAUUGUGUACUUGUCCAACAACCACGACCACGUUGAUAAGAAGAUGCCAUCUAGCAAAAGAAACUUUAUUGUAGUGCACACCUGUACAAGUAGGUUUUGCACUUCGUCAACCAUAAUCGAAAAACCACGCAUGAUUCAAUUUAUUUAAGGUCAUUGGUACAGGUUGCCCAAUUGCAAGCUUUUGGAUUUUAUUUUUUCAACUUCAACAUAAAUGUGUGUCAUAUGUUGUUAUCAUUCCUUUUUAUUAAGUAUAAAACUAAAACAUGUGGGUUUCUUUUACUGUAACUUAAAUCACUGUUUAUCUUUUUAUAAAUCAUUAUGAAUUGGAGAAAUUAUUUUUUUUUAAUUUUAUCCUUGAUUUAUUUUUCAGCCUUUAUUUAGCUUAUAAUUAACACUCAAUUGCAUGUUUUUUAUUUUAAAAGAUUGAAUUAAAAGUUAAAAAACUGAAAUGAAAAAGACGGGUAAAAUAGACGAUGACUUUAAAUUUAUUUAAAAAAUAUAUUUGAGUUUUCCAUCUAUUUUAGUUCUCAUGCAACUAAUUUUUUUAAUUUAUGGAUUGAUUGAUAGCAUAUUUAUAUUGCAAGAAACAUAGUUGAGUGUCUUAUUCUCAUAUCAUACUUGUAUUGCAAGAAAUAUCAAGUCUAGAAAGAAAAGCCCCACUUUCAAACUCAAUCACCACAACCAGCCGUGAAAAGCAUAUUAAUGUAUGAAAUUUUCAAGACUUCAUCAAUAGUAAAUUAUAAUUCAAUUGUUAUUAGGAUCUCUUCUUCUUACGAGAGUUCUUUUGUUUAGAUUUCUCAAUUAUAAACUAAAUUUUCUAUUUUUCUAGCUUGUUUUGGCAGGCUAUAUGUUUUUUUUUUUAAAAAAAAAAAUAAUCCAUUAACCAUAGUUUAGUUUUUAAUGUAUCACUUACUUGAUCAUGAUAGACCCGACAUCAUAAAAUCAUUAGAUUAUGAUAUAAAAUUUUAAAUUAUUAAUUAGCUAGACUUUGCCAUGUACCAAUUAACAUUAUCUUAUAAAAAAAUUAUUCACAGACAGAGCACGAUUACACUCCAUAAAUACGAGACAAUAUUUGAUACAAGUAGACUAAAAUAUUGUUAGUAUCUAAAAUUGACAUGUUUGUCUUUAUUUAGGUGGUAUUUAUGUUUAUUUUUAAAAAAGUUUAAUUUAGUAUUUUUUUUAGUAUUUUUCAUGUAUUAAUAUUAAAAAAAUAAUAAUAUAUAUAUAAUUUACAUCAAUAUAUAUAUAGCAUAUAUGGGCAUCGUAUUUGUAUAUCAAGCGAAAAGGGAUGGCUGAACAAUAUCCUGUGUUUUUUUAUAUUUUAAAAGAUGUUUUGAAAAAAAAAAUUAUUUUUUUUACUUUAAAUUUAAUUUUUUUAAUACUUUUAGAUUAUUUUAAUAUGUUAAUAUUAAAAAUGAUUUUAAAAAAAUAAAAAAUUAAUAUUUUAAUUUAUUUUUAAAUAAAAAAUAUUUUUUAAAAUAACUUCUACCUCACCGGUUAACACAGUCGGCACCGUCGUGAAUCUCUCGAUAACUUCUACUCUACACGUAUACUCCAUAAAUCUCUCCAUUUAUUGCUCUCAACAGCAUUUGGUUAGGAGUAAUGGAUAAAAUAAUAAAUUGCAUACCCUCAUCUAGGACAACUAUUUCAGGAAAACAGGAUGCCAAUUAGCUCACGCAAAUGUACCUGCCUCGGUUCCCUUAAACACGAGCACGUGUUAUCGCCUGAUCAUCUCUUUCACACUGUCCCACCUUUCUUGGGGAUUAUUCAAUUGUACAACGGUUUCUAGAAAGGUUUAGAGUGUGUUUGUCAGUGUGGUAGCGGUUGUUUUUCAAAUAGUUUUUCGUGCUGAAAUAUAUGUCAAUAAUGUUUUUUUAUUUUUAAAAAAUCAUUUUUAACAUCAGCACAUCAAAACAAUCCAAAAAGUACAAACCGAACUCAAUUUUAGCAAAAACAAAAAAUUGAAUUUUGACAAAACACCGUUUGGAACGCAAUGCCAAACGGUGUCUUACUCUCCUGCUUUGUAUCUUUAAAUGAUUUUUUUUUCUCUUAUUUGUUUUUAUAUUUUAAAAACAUAUUUCAAAAAUUUUAAAUUUUUUUUUAUUUUUUUAUUAACUUUUAAAUUAAUAUUUUUAAAUUAUUUUGAUGUAUUUAUAUUAAAAAUAAUUUUUAAAAAAUAAAAAAUAUUAAUAACAUAUAUUUUAAUAUGAAAAAUUAUUUAAAAAAUAAUUAUAAUCAGACUGUAAAAUAAGUUUAUCUAUCAGUUCACUAAAAUUAAUGCAAAUUGUUGCACUUUGUACGGUGUUGUGAGUGAGUAGUGGCCAGUCAUUUAAAAAAAAAACACAUCUUUACAUGAUCAAGGUUGUCAAUUUCGUUCCGUUUCGCCCGGAAUAGCCGAAACAUUCCAUACCAAUUCAAAAAACGAAACAAAUUUUUUUCUCACAUAAAAAGGUACUUAUAAUAAACCCUCUUUCUAUCCUAUAUGGAUUUCUUUCUAGUUUCCCUACAAGUAUAUUUGCAACAAAUGAAUGCGUAGCCCAUGAUCAAAUAAUAAAUGUUUGAUAUAGAAUUUUAUUGUAAGGUACUUUCCACCACAUCAAGGGCUACUCUAGUAUCCUAUUGAGUCAUAUAAAAUACCCUGCCUUGGGUCCAAUCAUUCUAAACACAAGACCAACCUCUAUUAGCACUUGCCCCUAACAAUGUUGGCCUGAUUGUUCUGUCCAUAGUAAUAGAUUGUUGUUGGCUAUAGGCCUGUUAUUGUACGCUUUGAAUAAACUCAACUCUUCGAGGGCAAUUUCUCUAAAAAUGGCCCUAACCUCCACAAUAAUAGCAAUUCCAACCUAAGUUUGGGUAAUCCAGCCAUCUAUGUUCCCCCUGUAGAUAUCGCACUAUCAUGGCGAUGCAGAACAGGCUUCUGGAUGCCUUUGUCAACAUUGAGUACACUGAGGAUAAGUGAUCAUCAUUUGCUCUGAAGCUUGUUUAAUAAAACUACCUCUUAAAUUUGACUACCCUCUAGUUAACCCCUCCUCAAUACUUUUAGUAAAUCUUGUUAUUGUUCCUCCCCCACUUUUAAACUGGUUGAAGUAUGUUUUAUUUCUUUUUAGGAGAGGUGGUCCACAUGUAGAAUAAUCAAUAUCCCUCCAUUUUCCCAAAACCAGACUAACCCCUAUUGGCCCUCUUUCGUACAUGCCUCUAAGGUCUCAGCUGCCUCAAUAAGCUCUUUGCUUGUUGCAAACUUAAAAGAUAUUAGACCUUUCUUUAAUUCAUGUCACAACCCAUCUCGUAGCCUAUUUAUUAUGUGCUACUCACUGGGAACAUAAUGGGAGGCAAACAUGGAGAGGUUAUAGAAUCUCCUCUCAUAAUCCAACACUAACAUGUCUCCCUACACUAAAGCCAGAAAUUCCUAAUUCUUCACCUUACUAUGGUACGAUGAAUAAAAUCAAUGUUCAAACUAGACAUUGAAAUCGAUUCAUGACUAUGACUUUACUAGUCUCCUCGAUCUUAUAGUAUCCCACCAAGACCAUGCUCUGUCAAAAAAGAGAUGGGUAGCACAAUUUACUUUUAAACCGUCUGCUUUUUGUAUCUGAUCCAAUAUGUCUUCAACUAUACGAAGCCACCUAUCUGUUAUUUCUGCAUCUGGUUUUUCCGAAAAAGGAUUCAUAUCCCAACUCCCUUAUACUCUUUACAAUAUGCACCAACGUGACUAUAUUAUUUAUUAGUACUAUCACCACUGGUGUUGUUUACACUAAUGGAGUCACUAAGGUUGUUAGGGUCAAUGUACUGGGCAUUGCUUCAAUCACCGCCCUUACAAUCUGAGCUAUAAAUGUUGGAUCAGCAUGUAGGGUAAGGGCUACUAAAGGUACUGCCUUUGUAGCUGGGGGGUAUAAUACUUUAUCUCUGUUAAUUGAAUUCUCUAGGAUGUGACACUCUUGCCUACCUCGAUUCAGCAUCCUCUCGAGGUCUAAUCACUCCCUCAACUCCAACUAAGGUGCUAUUAGUGGCAUAUGAGAGGAGAGGUAGUAUCCUCUAGGGGGUUCUCUCCCUGCCUUUCCUCAAGAUCCCCCUGCGGACGAGGGAUUUGUCAUCACGCAUUUCCUUGUGCAAGCCAUUUAGUUACAACUCAACAAUUCAUUAUAUUUCUUUUUCAAUUCUUGAACUCAGACCAUGGCUUUGAUACUACCUGUAAUAACCUUAUUUUUCUUGAACUGAUAUCAAUUAUAAUGACCUAAUUUUUUUUCCCUCUCUUUUCCUAUUUAUCAUUAUUCACCUAACCCAAAAUCUCCACCAAUCUUAAUUAAUUAUAUUAAAAUUUCCAAUCACCAAAUUUUUUUCUCCUUUGCCUAAACUAAGCCAAUAAAGGGGCAUUUAUCCUUUCAAUUUGUUUUUUGACAUUAAACCAUUACCCAUUCUUAGUUCUUGUUAAUAGUCAUUAACCAAUUCAAUAACAUUCAUCCAUUACAUAAUCAAUACAAUUUCAUCCUCACAAAAGCAUAACAUUUACAAUUCAUUAACAAAAACUCAAAUUCAAUGCAAUUAAUCUAUUUGAAGGUAUUUCUAACCUUAAAUGGAUGAUUCUCAAGUGUUGGAAGCUUAGGAAAUCAAGCCCCUUCAAUUCCUCUUUUUCCCUUUUUUUUUUUUCAAAACUCCAAACCUUAAUCUACUCUCCAAAGCUCACCCAAAACCCUUAAUCUCGUUUUUUAAAAUUCCUUAGCUAUGCUUUAAACACCCUAGUCUCUCUCUCUCUCUCUCUCUCUUUUUGUUGAAGUUUGCAAGAAUUUGAAAGAAAAAUCACAAUUUCUCCCCCCUUUCUCAUGUAAAUCAUCGACUAGGUGGAGAAGGAAUAGGUAUUUAUAUCCCAAUUUUCCAUCAAUUACACAUUGGCCCCCAUUUGUAUUUUAUUAUCUUUUGUUCUCCCUCAUUUAACUCUAAUUACUUUAUGCUUUACAACCUUUUGUUUUAUCCAAUUUUACCCCUUCAUUUAUCCAAUUUUAUUCCAUCUAACUUGAUCCAAUUUAUUUCCUAACUAAAAAUAAAUUUCAUUUAUUUAUUUUUGGAAAAGAUUUAGUUGGGUUUUCACAAAAGCUUUUUCCCAAACUAUGGCAAAAACCUCCAAAACAUGAAGAGAAUUAGGUAUCUUACUUGGCCAGCUUGCAGCUCAAACAAGGACGAGCAUGAGCUCUAACUAAUAAUGGUGAAAGCUUUUCAGAUAUAAAGAGUUUUGAUCUUACCAGAUUAAGACCCCAAAUCCCCCCUUUUUGGCCUAUAAAUAUCCCUCAUAAAUCAAACUCGAGAGGAAAAAAUAAAAAGGAAGAAAAGAGAGUAGGGGAAGAACAAAACAAGAAAGACAAAGAGAGAAAGAUUAAGCAAAAUAGAAACAUACAGAGAGAAAGAGAAAGAGAGAUAAGAGUGAAGACAUAACAUAAAAGAAGAUAAAAGAAAGAAUUCUUGUAUAAAGAUAAACGUGGGACUUUCAUCUUCUAUUACAAUGGUUGCUUAGACAUAACAUUCAUGUCUAACCCUUUUAAGACAACCAUAGACUUCAUAGACAUAUUUAGGAUGCUUCAAUAGUAGUUCAAACACCACAAAAACACUUUUAGGUGGUAGAAUUAGUUUUGGUUUUGAUAGAUGCAAGAGAACCAAGUUGUAGUGGAAAACUUCUUUGGUUAAGGAUUUUUGUAGCAUACUCAUGUAGUUGGAGGAGUUCUGGGAUUGUGAUAACAUUUUUAGAAAGUAGUAGUGACUCUAAAAAGGCUUCAACAACAUUUUAAAACAGUUACAACAAUUUGUUCUUUUUUUUUUUUUUUAGAAUACUAGUGGAACAUUAGCAGCAACAACCAUAAUAAUAUCAUGUAAGUUUCAGAGCUAUUUCUUUGUAUUAAGUGUCCUUUAUCUAAUCCUCCUUUUCUAGUGGUUGCAUGUCAUUGUAAUUUGAGAUAAUAAAUUUUGAAUAAAUAGAGUUCUAUAUUGAUAUGGGUGCAUGAAAUAUAGAUUUUCAAGGUUGGGGAUUUUCAAUCAUGAAACAUGAAAGAUCCUUAGUCAUUCUUGUUAUGAAAACCAUAUAUAUAUAUAUAUAUAUAUAUAUAUAUAUAUAUAUAUAUGUUUUAAGUUUUGCUGCUUGGUUUGAACCAAGCUUGAUCAUCAUGAGUUAAUAAUAAAGAUACUUUCAUUUUUUUUUCUGUAAAAAUGAAUAAAUGAGGUGCAUUAGUGAUGCGAACCUCGUAAUCACAUAGUCACGCAACCUACAAUCAAGAUUGAGAUCUAAUCCCGGAAAGCCGAAAUAGGUCUGAUAGGAGUGUGACACAAUGGAAACCUGCCCAAGGCACCAACACUAUUGGAAUGAGUAGAAUGACGCCACGAAGCCAAUUAAUCUUCGAUAAAUCAGAUUCAGUUCGUUCAAGAACUGAAGAAUGCAAGAAUCACUCUCACACGUUAAAACUGAAAAAUUCAGAAUAAUAAUCAUCCAAGCUGCCGAAGUUGUUGCUUACAGAGUUUAAAUAGUUCUUGAAAAGUUAACCCUAAUGGACCCCUUAUGUGGACUUAUAUGAGGUCCACUCAAAACUGGCCCAAAACCCUAAACUGGAAAGCCCAUAACCUGAUCCAAACAAGCCUUGGACCCUAGCUCAAAACAAAGUUUUAAUUAAGCCCAAACAUUAAAGAAAAUAAUAAAAAUAACUAAUAUGUGAUUAAAUACCAUCAGCCCUUCUUUCCUUGUGUAGCUAGGAUAAUAAGGAAUCUUUAUAAGAAAAGGAUUCUGAAACAUUAAUGAAUCACUGCCACACUUGUAGAUUAUAUUGCAGCUCAUUAAAGAUCCUUGUAGAACUAGGAAAUUCCCAAAGACAGCUGCCACAUCCUUGUAGGAAAAGAAUCCUAACCAAAUAGGAAGUCCACAAGUCAAAUGGAAGUAAAUAACAAAAUCCGUACAGCCUCCCUUGACCAGUAUUGCGGUUCCUUCUUGAACUCCGAUUGACCUGAAUUUUUAACCCAAGGUAGUAAGAUAUGUCUGGAGAGUCCACAUAAAAUAUUAUCUCGAUCCAACGGUCAGAUUGAUAAUUAUGAUUGUUGCCGUAAACCUGGACUGUUGCACUUUUUACGCCAAAAUCCGAAUCUUACCUUACUUGGGUCGUAUCACAUGGCUGAACCGUAUCCUUCCCUCCCUCUUCAAGAAGAUUCGCCCUCGAAUCUUGAAUACGAUUAAUAGUGAUUGCAGUAGCCUCUUGUUUAAGCCUUCGGAAUCCCUUUCUUGCUAACACCUUUCUCCAACAACACUGUAUAGAAGUAGUGACUGACAAGAAUUUCAAAUAAGCACGCGUACUUUUGAAUGAUAACCACAACGACUCUCCUUCAUCUUUCAUUAUUUUGGCGUUGUACCUCUUUUUACCAUGAAGCUUGAAGAUCAUAGACUAAUCUUCUACACUUAUCAACUUGUCGUUCUAGAACCCCCAAACCAUGGCUUAUUUUUUCACAUCGUUGACCUACAAUCCUUCUCUGUUCCCUCUCCCUUAGUGAAUACAUGACAUAGAUAGGGAAAAAAAAACAAGAAGUCGACGAAAAGAAUAGAGUUUAUAACUGGAAGAACACUGAUUUAGAUUCGAGAUUACGAAUCUGACUUUUGUUUGGACCAGAACUUAUCGGGAAAAAAAAUAAACAAAUGCGAAAGUGAUGAAAAUGACUCAAACAACAGCCAAAUAUCAAAAUAUGAUGAUAGUAUAAUGGCAAGAACGAAAUCAACAGAAACAAAACAAGUUUUGAAAGAUAACAUCAAACAGACCCGUUACGACAAAACAAGACCUAAUUUAGGAACCUAAAGAAACCGAUAUCCAAAUGACCUCGAAUUUAAUAUCUAGUAUUAAAAUACUAUGAAAACACCAAAACUCAAUUUAUAGGUCGUUCUCUUAUUUCUAGGUACCCAAACUCCUUGUAUGAUCAGUUUGCGGCAGAAAUGAACCUCCAAUUAAAACCUCCAGAAGCCGAUAUCAAAAUAAGCCCAAAUUUAAUAUACGGUGCUGUCUCAUCCCCAAUACACAUAAUAUGAAGUUUCAAUUGAUUCUAAGGUGGUUUGCUUAUAGUUCACUAAUAGUUGUGUUUCUGCGGCAGAAUUGAACCUCGAAUUAAAACCUCAAGAAAAUAAUAUCAGAAUAAGCCCAAAUUUGAUAUAUGAUGCUAUCCCACCCCCAAUAGACUGAAUAUGAAGUUCAAAUUGAUUCAGAGGUGGUUUGCUUAUGGUUCACCAAGAUUUGUGUUUCUGCGGCAAAAAUUGAAUGAUCAUUCAAAUUUUAACUAAUCACUCUUUUCUCUAUUUCUUUCUUUCUUUCUUUUUUCUUUUUGCAUGGCUGAACCGUAUCAAUUAGGUUUCAUACUAAACCAAGUAAUUCUUUUGAAAGCAACUUAUGGUUUUUAAAUGGUGGAAGUAGGCCCAAUCUAAGCCUGAAAUGUUGUUGUUUUGAUCUAUGAGAAGAUAUGUAAUGGAAAGUUUCUUUUUUUUUAUUUGAACAAGGUUGGAUAUGAAAUGUUGAGUGUAAAGUUGCUCUUGAAAAAACAAGUGUUUUAUUCUUAAAGACUAAAUUAUUGUUUUUAAAAUAAAUUAAAGAUAAGUUUAUAAAUAUAUUUAUGCAAUUAAUAGUAUACGUAGAACAAAUUUAGGAGAAAACACAUCUUUCCUUAAACAAAAUUAAUCUAGCACCUAAAUUCUAGACUAGUGCCAAUUUUAAAAUUUCUAGUUUUUUAUAAUUAUAUUUUGUAUUUGUCAUGAUAUUAAAUAAUAAGCUAAAGGGUAUGGGUGAUUCACUGUUCACCCACAUCUAAUACACUGUGCAUUACAACAGUAAUCCACAGUACAUUCCUUUUCUUUUCUUUUUUCUAAUUUGUUUUUGUUUAUUUUUUUAAAAAAUUAUCUUUGUCGAUUUUACUUUUUUAAUAUUAAGCUAGUUAAAAAUUUUGCUUUGUAAUUUUUUUCCAUAGAUGAUUCACUGUUCACCCACCCAAUGAAUUGUGGAUCACAACAAUAAUCCACAAUGCAUUCCUCUUUUCUUUUCUUUUUUUUACUUUUUCAUUUUUUCCCAACUUUUCUUCUUUUUUUGUUUAUUUUUUUUAAAUUAUCUUUGUCGAUUUUACUUUUUUAAUAUUGAGCUAGAUAAAAAAUUCACUUUGUAAUUUUUUUCUUAUAAAAUACAGUGAAUUACUACGACGUUUUCCCACAUGGUUUUUCUAUUUUAUUUUUUUUAUUUUUCCAAAUUAUUUUUGUUGAUUUUUUUAAAAAUAUUGAGCUAAUUGAGAAUUUAGUUUUGUAAUUAAAAAAAAAAAAAACAUUGUUGAUUGCUAUAGUGUUUCUCCACAUGGUUUUUUUGUUUUAGUUUUUUGAUGAUUUUCUCUGAAAUUAUCGUUUUCAAUUUUAUUUUUUAAUAUUAAGCUGGUUAAACAAUUAUAGUUACAAUAUGUGAGAAAAACACUGUAACUUUCCUCGUAAAUUACUGUAAAUUGCCAUAGUAUUUUUUUUCCCACAUGGUUUUUUUCCAGUUUCUUUUGUGUUUUCUUUUUCUGUAAUAUUGUUUUUCAAAAUUAUCUUUUUCAAUUUUAUUUUUUUAAUACUAAGUUGGUUAGAAUUUAACUUUGUAAUAAAGCUUAAUAAUGUGGGGACAGUAUUGUAGAUUUCCUCACAAAAUACUGUGGAUUGUUAGAGUGUCUCUCAACAUGGUUUUUAAAAUUAUCUUAUGAUUUUUUUAAAAUUAUCUUUGUCAAUUUUAUUUUUUUAAUAUUAAGCUAGUCAAGAAUUACAAUUACAAGUCAUUACAAAUAAGGAUAAAUCAUCUAGGGAAGCACUAUAGCUUUCAUCACAAAACACUGUGAAUUGCUAUAGUGUUUCCAACAUGGUUUUUUUUCCCUUUUUUUUAUUUGUUUUUUUUUUCUAUAAUUAUCUCUAUCGAUUUUAUUUUUUUAAUAUUGAGCUUAUUGAGAAUUUAGCUUUGUAAAUGUUUUUCUUUAAAACAAUAUGAAUUCUUGUAUUGUUUUCCCAUAUGAUUUUUUUUUUAAAUUAUCUUUGUCGAUUGUUUUUUUUUUAAUAUUGAGUUGGUUAAGAAUUAUAAUUACAAUAAAGUUAAAUCAUAUAUAUGAGGAAAGUGUUAUACUUUUUCUCAUAAAACACUGUGAAUUGCUACAGUAUUUGUCUAAAUGGCUUUUUUUUCUAAAAUUGUCUUUGUCAAUUUUAUUGGAGAAAGCACUUAGUUUUCCACACAAAACAUUGUCAAUUGCUACAAUGUUUUCCUCAUGGGUUUUUUUCCUUCCAAAAUUAUCUUUGUUGUUUUUUAAAAAAAAUAUUAAGUUGGUAGAGAAUUUAGUUUUGUAAUUUUUUUUGCUUUUUAUUAAUAGAAAAGAUAAAUCAUGUGGCGAAAACACUGAUUCUUUCCUCAUAAAACACUGUGGAUUGCUACAAAUCAUUUUGUUAAGUCUUUAAGUUUUUUAUUGUCGCACGUGGCGCAGCGGCGCGGCGAUCGUACACCCCCAAGGAAAAAUCAGAAUAAUUUAUUCCUUGAAAAUAGGGAGAGACAAGGAAUUCUUGUCUCUACAAGUGAAAAUAUAGACUAUGAGUCGCCACCUAGUAUUCUGGUUACUAGGAACCUUAACUGGUCUUUAGAGAUCGGGUACGGAGACUGGUUGCGUAAAGGGAAGGUAUUAGCACCCCAACUACGCCCUACCUAAGGUAGGCUGCAUUGUUUUAAUGUCUGAUAAAAUCUAAAAUCGUGUUGUGGUUUUUUUGAAUUGUUGGUUCGUUUAUGGUUUAAGAAAAGCCCUUCUCUGUAAGGAGAUCCUUAUCUUUAUCGGGUAAAAAACUAACUAUUCGAAGUCGUCAAAAGAAAAUAUCUUUUUAAUAUCAGGAAUACGAUUUACAUAUAAAUUCAUAAUCUCUGAUACUAAAAUAAAAAAAAAUAAAAUAUUUUGUUGUUUUUUGAGAUUUUAGCCAAUGUUCUCUUGACUUUAAUAAACUGGUUAUUAAAGCCAAAAUGCAUGCUAAAAUAUUGUUUUUUGACAUAUGAAAAAUACGAUAUGAUAUUUUAGAUUUGAGACACUUGGCCGCAUGCACAAAAACAUUUUUUUUUUAUCCUUUUUUCAAUUUUUUAUUUAUUUUUGGAAGUUUUUGCCGAAAAACGGGUAUUUUAAUACCGGAUUUAUAUUUUUACGAUGUAAAAAUACUGCCCGAUAUUAAUCAAAAUGAUAUAAAAACUACGCGGAAAAAUUAUAAAAUGCUGAAACAAAUAUUUUUGAUUUUUUUUUUUUAUGCAUGUGUGAACAGUACCGUAUGAAUAGUGACGUGUGAACAAUACCGCGGGACGAAAACCAGGUAUUUUAAUACCGAAUUUAUAUUUUUACGAUGUAAAAUACAUAUCGAUAUUAAGCAAAAUUGAUAAAAAAUGUGCUGGAAAAAUUGUAAAAAAAUAAAAAAAAUAAAAAUGAAAUGGGCCGGGUCCGGCCCAUAUCAGUGGGCUGGGCCAAACCGGCCCAAGACUAAAUGGGCUGGUUACUGUGCAUAAGCACAGUAACCAGCCUCUCAGCAGUUGCAGAACGUGAAUUAAUUCACGUUCUGCAUGAAAAUAAAAGAGAGAAGGCAACAGCAAAAGGAGAAGGAGACGAGGCAACGGGGUUACCUGCGGUGGCGUCGAGGCGGUGCUGCUGGUGGCAGCGGAGGCGAUGGUGGCGGAGGCACGGUGGCCGGCUGUGUUCCUUCUCUCUCUCUCCUCUGUUUUUCUUCGUUUUCUUCCCUGCUUCUUCUUCUUCUUCUUCUUCUUCUCUGCCCUCUCUUCUCUUCUCUUCUCUCUUGGUUCGUCUCCCUCUUCUCUCUCGGUUUUUCCCUUCUGUUCUUCUGUUUUUUUUUUUUUCUUCUUUUCUCCCCUGUUUUUAUAGGCAAAAAACAGGGGAGACGACUGUUGGGGCGGCCACUGUUGGCCGCCCCUCCACUAUCCAAGUGGCCGAAAAAGUAUGCAAGUGGCUAUUGUGGGCGUCUUUUUGAAGCCGUCGGGGAAAGAAGUUCGGCGAAAAGUGGAGAAGACAAAAAAUUCUUCUCCCCUGUUAUCUGCGUGCGCAGGGAAGAAGACAAUGGUGCCGUUUCAAAACGGCACCGUUUUGGGUUUUUUUUUUUUUUUUUAAACAGUGCACGAAACGGCGCCGUUUUGGUCAAAACACGCCGUUUCAUUUAAAAGAAAAAGGCGCCAAAACGCGUCAGAUUUCAAAGAAGUCCCUCCAUUUGCGCGCGUUUUACAAUUUCGUCCUUGGUCUCAGAUUUCUUCAAUUUAGUCCCUAAUUGGCCAUUAAACUUCAAUAUAUAUGCAAUUAAGCCCCUGAUUUGACCAAAUUAACUUCCAAAAAUUAUAAUUUGACCCCAGAAAAUUAAUUUCUUCUAAUUAAAGCCCAAAUUAACUCCAAAAUCAAUUUUUCUUGCAAUUAAAAUCUCCAUAAAUUCAAUUAAACCUUCAAAAAAAUUUAAUUGAGUCCAUAAACUUCUGAUUUUGCAUCUUUCUUCCACAAAUUGAAUUUUCUUUAUCAUCGGGGCUCUCAUCAGUUAAUGAUAUACUGUCAAAAAAUAAUUUUUAUAUUUUUGAAAAUCCUCAAACAAUUUUUUUUAGCAUGUUUAUGGCGCUCUGGCAUUUUUCACUGUUAUAUUUUUUUUGUAAUAUAUUUUAUUGAAUUUUUUUGUAUUUUAUUAUUUUAUAUGUGGGGACCCAAAAAUGGGUUACAACAUUUAUCACCAACAAAACUUUUUUUUUCAGUCAUGAAAUAUUAGCUCCAUUAUAUCCUUAGUUUUUAUUAUUUAUUUAGCGCUGGUUCACAAUUAUAACACUAUCAAAUAUAUUUGUUUUAUAAAUUCACAACAGCGCGUGAGCAUACCAUCACCUAACAAUUAUAUUGACUCACUAAAACAAGUUAGGUUUGAUAAUAUAGGUUAAGAGAUUUCCACGUGUCAGGACUAACUAACUAGUUGUAUUGACAAUAUUUUGAUUUAUAAUUAUAGUAGAGAAGGCAUAAAAGAAAAUAAAAUCAACCAUGAAUUUCUUAUUAUUUGUCAAUUGAAUAGUGAAAUAGCAUAAUACAUUGAUGGGUACAGAUAAUAUGAAUAUAUAGUAGUGGAUAACAUAAAUAUUGCUGCGCAAUAUCAUGGAGGUGAUACAUAAUAUAUCAAUCCUUUCAAGCAUAUAUAAUUAGGGCAUGGCUAGCAACAAAAUGCAGCUAAAUAUCCAUUAGAAUUUUGAUUGAGCCGUGAUGACCAGAGGCUUGAAACCAUGUUGGAUGCUUGCUUGCCAAACCUUGUCAAUGUCAGACAUGGUGUAACCGCAUUCAUGCUCAUUCCAUCCUUCUAGGGCAUGCACUAUUCCAGCCACGCGCCAUGCACUCAUCACUCUCCUUGGCAACCAAUUCUGUCAUCAUUCAAAUUAAUUAUCUUUCCUGAAAUAAAAUUAAAAAAAAUAUUGCAAAUAGAACUUUAAAGCUGAGCAAUAUUUGACUAAUUAAAUUAAUGACCUCACAAGAGUCCACAUUUUCGAGAGAUGCAGGGGCUGCCAUUGCUGGUGUGCUGUGAUAGAAGCAGUCCUUGCGCAAUUUCUUCGGGGGAAAUUGCGAGAAGGGAAUGAAUAAUGUUCCUUCUGUUGCUUUCUUUUGGUCUUCUCCUUUCAAUCCAUCCCCAACUAACCAUGUCUGCCCAAAGUUUAUUAUUAUUAAGUUUAAGUUGUAAUUUUUUUUUGACAAAAAACUCAUUUCUAAUUCCUUGGAAGCAAAAGAAAUCAUAGGUAUGGUAUACCUUAAUUGAAUAACUUUUUGAAAAAAUCAGAUUAUUCUGAUCAGAUCUUAUGCCGAAGGAUUUUUUAAGCUUCUUGUAAUCAUCCUCGUAUGGAACAGCCACCUGAACAAACAAACGAAUUAGAAAUUAAAACAUGACCACAGAUUUAAAUGAAUUAAAUAAUUGCCUGCCUAUACAAUCAAUUUAAAUAAAUUACAGUUAAAUUGAAGCGACAUCGUGUGCCUACUGGCCUAGGAGACAACAUCAACAAUACCUGUAUUCCCCUCCGACAGAGAUUUAAAACAACAGCGUACGCAACCUUUGAGAGAUUGCCUCUAUGAAGCACCUGUGUUGUUCCUUUAGGGAUGCUAUUCAGGACAGCAGCAACGGCUAGACUGCUUCCAUCCACCACCUUCGUUUCGAGGCUCGGAUACCUUUGCACAUAAAGCUCGCCAUACCUAUUAAGCUCCUCUCCCUGCAAGAUUUAUUUUUGAACAUGAUGAAAACACAAUAUAGGUUGCCUAGAAUGCAUUGUAUUGUAACCGUGAAGUACUUGCCUGAUUUAAGAGGCCGAGACUCAACACUUUAACACCUUUUUCCUCAGCGUCUAGUAUAGCUUCUUCAAUCAAGGUGUUUAUGGAUGCUCUGUGCCACGGCAAGUUGUACUGCCAAAGAGUAGAUACGAAAAUUAAUGCGACCAAAUUAAACUGAACGCACUUGAUUAAUCAAUGACAGUGUUACAUCCUUCUUAUUUACUUGAAUAUUGUAUUUUGGUAUUGUCCACGUCUGUAAUCUGAGUUUGUGAAAGCGAUUCCUCUCAACGACAAAAGCGCGUCCAUAAAUCCAAGUUAACAUCAUGGUCCACAGUGUCACCGGCCACAUUAACGAGAGAUACCAUUUCGAUUUCUGAGGGUUGGAAGCCAAGUAGGCAAGUCCUAGCCGUGAAUGAUAGAUGGAAUCUGGUGUGGUGAGAUGAGUUAGAUGCACCACAUCAGGGGCUUCCUCGGGUCUCUUGAGCGAAUCUUCAUAGAGGGUAUCAGAAGACGUGUCCGUUGUGCCGUAGAUGAAAUCAUAGAUGGGCAUGAAUAGUGAGUAAUUGGUUCUGAAUUGAGUGUGGUGAAGAGAGUGGAACCUGCAGCCAUAUUAAAUGCUAAAAAAUUAAGUAUGUUUUCCAUAGACGACGGUGUAUAUAUAUAUAUUUCUUGUUUCUGUAAGAUGAGAUGAAUCAUUUUCCUAUAAUCUUUCAUAACAGUCAUGCCUUUUGUUCACAAGUCUGAAAGAAAUCCCAUUAAUAAAAAGAAAAGGAGCAAGGCUGGUGAGAAUUGAUAAUUGAAAUUGCAAGAAAUCAAGACUUACGAUGGGGUGUACAUGAGGUACUUGAGAGGGGGGAAAAUGGUGAAGAGCCAUUUGGGAACGAGUUCAAAGUUGCAGUGACCCAUGUUGUUCAUCCCGUCAAUGUAAGUGAUAUAACCAGCUAAGGAUGCUAAAGAGGCUGUCCCCGUCACAAUAGUCGUUAUCAUUGGUAUUGCAAAUAGAAUGAAGUAGGAUAUGUGCUCGGCGAAUGGAUGAAUCACAGCUGCGAUGCACAUGGAAUAUUAAUUUUUAUAAUAAUAUUCGAAGAAAAAUCUUGUGUAUACCAAUAUUCUCCAUUGAUAUUGAUUAGCAAUACAUGAUGAUAUACAAGAUUACUAAUAAUUCAAAUGCAAGGAUAUUAUUUACUUCGAAACUCUUAAUAUAUUUUAAAUAUAUUCGGGGGAUGUUAUGAGACAACUUAGACAUGACAGCUUAAAUAUAAUCACAUAAAUUAUUUAAAAUAUGUUUUAAUGAAGUAGCGGGAUAUGUUAUAUCAAGAUAUGUUUAUAUUAAGAUGAGGUCUAACAUAUUGGACCAUAAAGUUAGGGUCCUUACACGUAAUGGGCUCUGUGACAAUGGAGGAGUGGUGAUGGGAAUGAUAGCGAGAGUAGAGAUAGUGGUGAUGAAGAAGGCGAUGAAGCCAAUAAUACAGAAAUUCCACCGGACCCAUAUGAAUCAGAGCUGUUAUAAUUACACCAUCUAACCUCCACAUGGGGAGAUGGCUAGCUCCUGGAAUUGUUUUGAUACCGACGUAGAAUAAAAUUCCAUUGAACAGUAUUUGGUCAUCCCUGCAGAUAUCCAGCCAGAAAAUCAGAAAACUCACAAGCAGUAGAGUGGAAAUUAAUGCAAGAAAUUAUUUAACACACACACACAAAUACCAGCUGCUUUCUCUAUCAACUUGCUCAAAUUCAAUGGCUUUGUCAAUAAUCCUGUUAUUUCCCUUGGCUGUUCUGUAACGGGACAGACUGAUCCAUAACAGGUUGUGAAGCAUUCUCCACAGCAGAAGCGGGAAUGCGAGAAAGGUUGAGAGAUCUUUUCCAUCUUUGAUCAUGUAGGAGUAGGUGCUGUGGAUGACCCAAGGAGCCAAUAUUACAUGCUGCAAUGUUGAACACCACAAACAAAACAAAGAUAUAUAGUUAAUAUUAUUGUUUUUGUUUAUGAUAUAUUAACGUUGUUUGCACGAAAAUAGGGAGUUAAUUACUCUACGCAUGUUAUCAGAUAUUAACGAGAAGGAAAAGGAGCGAGAGAGAGAUAUGAGAGGGAUUUCCAUGAGACCUUAAAGCUUCCAAGAGGUUUCCAUGGCCAGUCUGUGAGAAUUCCUGGCCGAGAUGCCAUCACUUCACUGCUACUACUUAUCUUUGUUUCCUUACUUGUGGGGAG